AUUGAACGCUGGCGGCAUGCCUUACACAUGCAAGUCGAACGGUAGAGGGGGCAACCUCUCGAGAGUGGCGAACGGGUGAGUAAAGCAUCGGAACGUGCCCAGUAGUGGGGGAUAGCCCGGCGAAAGCCGGAUUAAUACCGCAUGAGACCUACGGGUGAAAGGGGGGGAUCGCAAGACCUCUCGCUAUUGGAGCGGCCGAUGUCAGAUUAGGUAGUUGGUGGGGUAAAGGCCUACCAAGCCGACGAUCUGUAGCUGGUCUGAGAGGACGACCAGCCACACUGGGACCGAGACACGGCCCAGACUCCUACGGGAGGCAGCAGUGGGGAAUUUUGGACAAUGGGCGAAAGCCUGAUCCAGCCAUGCCGCGUGCGGGAAGAAGGCCUUCGGGUUGUAAACCGCUUUUGUCAGGGAAGAAAUCCUUUGAGUUAAUACCUCGGGGGGAUGACGGUACCUGAAGAAUAAGCACCGGCUAACUACGUGCCAGCCGCCGCCGUAA
rnacentral:rRNA from 1 species